UAGCUCUCAAUACACCAUCGGAGGAGGAGUCAAUGCAAACUGGGAAGUCUUCCUCCUCUACAUAUCUGUCAGUACAGAGGAUGACAGAGAACCGUGGACACACAGUUUAACAUGAUGGACCACAGGACAGCACUGCUGCUUCUAACCGUCUGCUGGGCAGGUGCAGAUGGUCAGACUCUGACAGAAUCUGAGCCCGUGGUUAAAAGGCCUGGAGAAUCCCACAGACUGACCUGUACAGCCUCCGGAUUCACUUUCAGCAGCUACCAUAUGAGCUGGAUCAGACAGGCUCCUGGAAAAGGACUGGAGUGGAUCGCUUUUGUACACACAGGCAGUUCCAGCUUAGAUUACUCCCAGUCAGUCAAGGGUAGAUUCACCAUCUCCAGAGAUGACUCCAGCAGCAAAGUGUAUCUGCAGAUGAACAGUUUGAAGACAGAGGACACAGCAGUGUAUUACUGUGCCAGAGACACAGUUAGACAGAGAAAUGGGAGACUCAAACAAAAACUACUUCCUCUAUUUACCACCACCACUGGAAACAUUCAGUUUCCUCAGUAUCACUUUUCUUGAAAUAUUGGUUGUCAUCAAUUUCUCUAUUAUUAUUAUUAUUUUUAUUCAUUCUUCAUCGUUGUGCAAAAAUGUAACUACAUGUCUUCAGAAAUGUGAACAUUUACAUCUUGUUCAUUUGUCAGACUUCAAUGGGACUUUCUAACGUGUCAAAGAAAAUGAAAAUUUUAAAAAUGACUCAAUUUACUUUAAAACAUCCUGAUAAUAAAAAAGGCCACUUAGAAAUAUGUUUCCUAUCACAUUCAGACAUUUAUCAAGUUAAAACCCUUUUUUCCUUUAUAUUUAUUUUCCUUAUUCUUCAUAUUUUUUUGCAAUUCGGGUACUAUUUUACAUUUGUUAAUGGUAUAUAUUGUAUAGAUUGUAAGGUGUGCGUUGUGAUACCUGCUGCUGUAACACCGGAAUUUCCCAGCUUGGGAUCAAUAAAGUACCUAUCUAUCUAUCUAUCUAUCUAUCUAUA